rnacentral:ncRNA from 1 species
UUUAUCGAUGUUAUCAAAAUUUUCUCGUCUGAUUGUAACAUGCUACUGUAUUUAAAAAUAAACCAAAAUGGUAGACUAUUAUUUGCUUUACAAAUUCAUAUAAAUAAUUAGGAACAAGUUGUUCCAAUUAAAUUGAAUUUAAAUCAAUAAGAAGUUAUAUAUUAAUCACUACGCGCCUAGCAUAGUUGUAUUCGAUGCCGGAGACGGAGCCUGAGAAAUGGCUACCCCAUCCAAGGAAAGCAGCAGGCACGCAGAUUACCACUCGCAGAACUCGCAGACUCUUUUGAAACCCGUAAACUGGAAUGAUUAAAUCCUUUAACGAGAAUUAACUGAAGGGAAAGUCUGGUGGCAACAGUCGCUGUAAUUCCAUAGCGUAUAUUAGUUGUUGUUAAGAAGCUUGCAGUUGAAUCUUAGUUCUAGACGGGUGGUUCGCCUACCGCUGGUUGCUGCCUGUUACUUACUGAUGUUCUGUGGUUACUGCCUGUACCGGUGGUUCUGUUACUGCCUGUUCUGUCCUGUUCAAAGUCGCUUUCCUUUGAUGAUCUUCACCCGUUGUUGACAGGCAAGUUCACUUUUAAAAAAUUAGAGUGCUCAUAGCAGAAGUGACGCUUGAAUAAUGUUGCAUAGCAUAGUAAGAAAUUAUAAAUUCCUCUUAUAAUUAAUCAUCACAAAAAUGGCAUAACAAGAACAAGAUCUCAG